UUCGGAUUGUAGUCUGNAACCCGACUACAUGAAGCUGGAAUCGCUAGUAAUCGCGGAUCAGAAUGCCGCGGUGAAUACGUUCCCGGGUCUUGUACACACCGCCCGUCACACCAUGGGAGUCGGAAAUGCCCGAAGUCGGUGACCUAACUGAAAGGAAGGAGCCGCCGAAGGCAGGUCUGGUGAUGGGGUGAAGUCGUAACAAGGUAUC
rnacentral:rRNA from 1 species